rnacentral:rRNA from 1 species
AUUGAACGCUGGCGGCAUGCCUUACACAUGCAAGUCGAACGGUAACAGGUCUUCGGAUGCUGACGAGUGGCGAACGGGUGAGUAAUACAUCGGAACGUGCCUGAUCGUGGGGGAUAACGAGGCGAAAGCUUUGCUAAUACCGCAUACGAUCUACGGAUGAAAGCGGGGGAUCUUCGGACCUCGCGCGGACGGAGCGGCCGAUGGCAGAUUAGGUAGUUGGUGGGAUAAAAGCUUACCAAGCCGACGAUCUGUAGCUGGUCUGAGAGGAUGAUCAGCCACACUGGGACUGAGACACGGCCCAGACUCCUACGGGAGGCAGCAGUGGGGAAUUUUGGACAAAGGGCGAAAGCCUGAUCCAGCCAUGCCGCGUGCAGGAUGAAGGCCUUUGGGUUGUAAACUGCUUUUGUACGGAACGAAAAGCCUCUUUCUAAUAAAGAGGGGUCAUGACGGUACCGUAAGAAUAAGCACCGGCUAACUACGUG